UCUGCCCAGCCCUUUAAAAUGGCUGAAAAAAAGAAUGCUAGGGAGAAGGGGGACCAGGAGCAGAUUUCUGCAUCAAUGGACCUGUAAGCUUGAUUAUGUGAUGCUGAAUUCCUGCUGCCGGUCUGUGCAGACAAUACUAGAUGAACCUGCUUCGUAUUAUCACCUUCACCUGCCUGUCUCUCCCUCCCUCCCUCUCACACCAUUCCCAGCCUUCUCUUCUAAUCAAAGCCAGAUGUGGAAUAAAGACAUCUCAGCAUUUGGAGUGCAAAGGGACAUGAAUGUGGCGGAUGGCCCAGCGCUGCGAGGGAGGGCAAUGGAAGAUGAGAGCUACUGUUCUGGCAGACAAUUAACACAAUCAUGUUUAUGAAUGUGGAUCAGUAAUUCCAGAUGGACCAAACCACCGUAAGGCCCAGAGAGAGAAAGAGAAAGAGGCGAGAAUUGCGGAAAUGGGACCUGAUCCCUCCUGGCAGCACAAAGAUGAGGGCAAUCUUCAUUUGAGGCACCAAAUACGGGAGGGGAGGGGCAGCAUGUUGUGGAGGCAUCUCAAGAUGCUAUGAACAGGCCUUUCUAGAUCAGACGAAAGGUUGGUUUUGCCCUGUAUCCUGUCUCCAAUAGUGGUCAGUCUGAUAAAUCUGGGAAGCCCACAACUCAUAUGUUUCACAUUUUUGCGUUAUGUAUGCUUUUAUCAUUGUAAGUCCCUUUGAGGAAUUUUAUGCAGUAAGUGAUGAAUAAAUGUAUUAAUGCAACAACAAUGGCAUGAAGGCAACAGCUCUCCCACACUGCCUAUCCCCACAUCUGAUUUUUGCCACCUUUAUCAUGUUUUUUUCCAGUAGCAAAUUCCAGUGGUA